GGAUUGUGGCUCAAUGGUAGAGUGCUUGCCUUGCACAUGUGAGGCACUGGGUUCAAUCCUCAGCACCA
rnacentral:tRNA from 1 species